UGUAGCUUUAAAUGCAAAUGAGCUGUGCCUGACCACGCCCCUCUCCGGAAGGGGAUGCCGUUCGGGCUUCUGGCACCGUGCUCUAAUGUUUACGGUGACCGUGACCGGCAACCUGGCGUCGGUAGCGAUUUGGUUCAACCACACGACUUUUAUCCAGAAUCUGACCCAGAGGGGGAGGCUGCUGAAGAAGUUCAAACUCUACAACUGCAGCAGGACGUUUCUGAAUGGUGCUCCUGUGGAAACUGUGCAACCAUGCCCACAGAAGCUGAGAAUAUCUGCUGCUAGGAGAUACCACAGGUUACCAGACGGCUAUGGGAGAUCGAGGAAGAUUUACCAUGUACAGUCGGCCGUCCUGGGUUGGAGCCGCUCUGCCUCAUUGUGUACUCCCUCCAGAAUGCCUGCAACAUGUACCGCACUGACUACGGUCCUUU